UAUGAUGAAUGCUGUCAGUCGCUCUGGAUAAGAGCGUCUGCUAAAUGACUAAAA
rfam:Salmo salar isolate Sally breed double haploid chromosome ssa20, whole genome shotgun sequence.